rnacentral:lncRNA from 1 species
GGAGGGGGCAGUGUCCCGUGGCCCCUCCUUAACUGCUCCCUCCCCCUGGCUGCAGGAAGGCUGGAGCAGGUGUGAGGAGCUGUGGGUGCAACAGCUCCCCCUACAGGCCCGGGAGCAGCGCGGCACUGCCCAGCUGGCCUCCCUCCUCCAGGAGAUGCACCGGCUGCUGGCGGACGGCUCGGAGCGCGCCAUCCUUGCCAGGGCGAAAAGCAGCAGCACGUCUGGGCGCUGAUCAAAGGCACCUCCUACAUCAAAUCCCAGCUCCGCAAGGACCAGGCCGAGGUGAGACACCCCCACCCGCCCGCACUAAGGAGGAGGCUGUGGGGCAAGACUGAGGGGUACCGGCAGGGCUGGGGGAGUGGAGCCCAGGGCUGGGACUGAGGGGCACCAGCAUGGUCUCCCCCCACUCUCUCUCAGGUCCAGGCCUUCGUGCAGAGGAAGCUGCUGGGCCCGGAGCAGGACGUGACGCUGGAGUCGCAGCGGCUGCACGGGGGGGGUGGAGCGCGAGGUCCGGCAGCUGGGGGCCAUCGCCCUCCCCUGCCUUCUGCGCCGCAGCCUCCUGGGGUCCCAGCAGGUCCCGGCCCACGAGCUCUCCAUCCAUAGGCUGGGCCGGACGGCGCUCGCCCAGCACCGGGCCUUCCUCACUGUGUGCCAGGCUUCCGGCUUCCCUCUCUACAAGGUGAGACGCACACUUGGUGGAGCAAUGGGGCAGGGAGCGGGGAGGUCUCUGCACAGGGCAGGAGUGAGGCCCUCUUCUGGGGGGAGAUGGGAUGGGGGGCCCUGGAGGAGGG